rnacentral:rRNA from 1 species
CGUAGGGUCCGAGCGUUGUCCGGAAUUAUUGGGCGUAAAGGGCUUGUAGGCGGUUUGCUGCGUCGGAAGUGAAAACUCAGGGCUUAACCCUGAGCCUGCUUCUGAUACGGGCAAACUAGAGGGAUGCAGGGGAGAAUGGAAUUCCUGGUGGAGCGGUGGAAUGCGCAGAUAUCAGGAGGAACACCGGUGGCGAAGGCGGUUCUCUGGGCAUUUCCUGACGCUGAGAAGCGAAAGCGUGGGGAGCAAACAGGCUU